AUUGAACGCUGGCGGCAGGCCUAACACAUGCAAGUCGAGCGGUAGCACAGAGAAGCUUGCUUCUUGGGUGACGAGCGGCGGACGGGUGAGUAACGCGUGGGAAUCUACCUGGUAGUGGGGGACAACAGUCGGAAACGACUGCUAAUACCGCAUACGCCCCUUGGGGGAAAGUGGGGGAUCUUCGGACCUCACGCUAUCAGAAGAGCCCGCGUCGGAUUAGCUGGUUGGUGGGGUAAGAGCCCACCAAGGCGAUGAUCCGUAGCUGGUCUGAGAGGAUGACCAGCCACACUGGGACUGAGACACGGCCCAGACUCCUACGGGAGGCAGCAGUGGGGAAUAUUGGACAAUGGGGGCAACCCUGAUCCAGCCAUGCCGCGUGUGUGAAGAAGGCCUUCGGGUUGUAAAGCACUUUCAGCUGUGAGGAAAGGUGAGUGGUUAAUACCCGCUUACUGUGACGUUAACAGCAGAAGAAGGACCGGCUAACUCCGUGCCAGCAGCCGCGGUAAUACGGAGGGUCCGAGCGUUAAUCGGAAUUACUGGGCGUAAAGCGCGCGUAGGUGGUUCAGUCAGUCAGAUGUGAAAGCCCCGGGCUCAACCUGGGAACUGCACCUGAUACUGCUGAGCUAGAGUAC
rnacentral:rRNA from 1 species